GGGCAAGUGUGCAUAGUGGCGAUUGCAGCGGACUGUAAAUCCGUGACUUUGAUACACCGUAGGUUCGACUCCUACCUUGCCCACCA
rnacentral:tRNA from 2 species